GAUGAACGCUGGCGGCGUGCUUAACACAUGCAAGUCGAACGGGAAACCUUUUAUUGAAGCUUCGGCAGAUUUAGAUUGUUUCUAGUGGCGGACGGGUGAGUAACGCGUGGGUAACCUGCCUUAUACAGGGGGAUAACAGUCAGAAAUGACUGCUAAUACCGCAUAAGCGCACAGAGCUGCAUGGCUCGGUGUGAAAAACUCCGGUGGUAUAAGAUGGACCCGCGUUGGAUUAGCUAGUUGGUGAGGUAACGGCCCACCAAGGCGACGAUCCAUAGCCGGCCUGAGAGGGUGAACGGCCACAUUGGGACUGAGACACGGCCCAGACUCCUACGGGAGGCAGCAGUGGGGAAUAUUGCACAAUGGGGGAAACCCUGAUGCAGCGACGCCGCGUGAAGGAAGAAGUAUCUCGGUAUGUAAACUUCUAUCAGCAGGGAAGAAAAUGACGGUAC
rnacentral:rRNA from 1 species